rnacentral:rRNA from 1 species
GACGUAGGGCGCGAGCGUUGUCCGGAUUUAUUGGGCGUAAAGAGCUCGUAGGCGGCUUGUCGCGUCGACUGUGAAAACCCGAGGCUCAACUUCGGGCUUGCAGUCGAUACGGGCAGGCUAGAGUUCGGUAGGGGAGACUGGAAUUCCUGGUGUAGCGGUGAAAUGCGCAGAUAUCAGGAGGAACACCGAUGGCGAAGGCAGGUCUCUGGGCCGAUACUGACGCUGAGGAGCGAAAGCCAGGGGAGCGAACGGG